rnacentral:tRNA from 1 species
GCCGCCAUAGCUCAGCUGGAUAGAGCAACUGCCUUCUAAGCAGUAGGUCGUGCGUUCGAACCGCGCUGGCGGUA